CCUACGGGUGGCAGCAGUGGGGGAUAUUGCACAAUGGGGGAAACCCUGAUGCAGCGACGCCGCGUGGGUGAAGAAGCGCCUCGGGGCGUAAAGCCCUGUCAGCAAGGAAGAAAAUGACGGUACUUGAGGACGAAGCACCGGCUAACUACGUGACAGCAGCCGCGGUAAUACGUCAGGGGCUGGCGUUAUCCGGAUUUCCUUGGUGUAAAGGGGGCGUAGGCGGGGAUGCAGGGUAGGAGUGAAAAGCGGGGGCCCAAACCCGGUACAGCCCUUGAAACUGCGUGGCUUGAGUGCAGGAGAGGCAAGCGGAAUUCGUGGUGUAGCGGUGAAAUGCGUAGAUAUCAGGAGGAACACCGGUUGCGAAGGCAGCGUACUGGACUGCAACUGACGUUGAGGCCCGAAAGCGUGGGGAGCAAACAGGAUUAGAUACCCUUGUAGUC
rnacentral:rRNA from 1 species